UACAGAGGGCUCAAGCGUUGUUCGGAUUCAUUGGGCGUAAAGGGUGCGUAGGUGGCGCCGUAAGUCGGGUGUGAAAUUUCGGAGCUUAACUCCGAAACUGCAUUCGAUACUGCGGUGCUUGAGGACUGGAGAGGAGACUGGAAUUCAUGGUGUAGCAGUGAAAUGCGUAGAGAUCAUGAGGAAGACCAGUGGCGAAGGCGGGUCUCUGGACAAUUCCUGACACUGAGGCACGAAGGCCAGGGGAGCAAACGGG
rnacentral:rRNA from 1 species